UUUUUUACUUUUGAUUGCAACGGCGCCAUUUUUCACGGUGAUAUCAUUUUCUUUCCCACAUACGAAUUAUUUUCUUUCUCGAUAUUUUCUUUGCUUGAAACCUCAAAAUCAUUUCCCUUUUCUUUCUCGGACUUUUUUUGCUUGAAACCACAAAUCCCAUCCCUUUUCUUUCUCAGUCUUUUUGUUGCUCGAAAACCCCAAAAUCCCGUCCUUUAUUCUUUUAUUUUAGCUCCUCCUCACAUUGAAGAAAAUAUCAGUCUUUUCUCAGUCUCAAUCAACAUUGUCUCAAUUAAUUUCUUCUGCUAUUCAAAGAUGUCGUUUAUCCGAAGAUAUUUGCCGAUUAUCAGUCUUUCUCAAGAGCUCUCCUCCAAUCAUUCGAGUUUCAAAUACGGGCACCAGUAGUUGCUUGGAGGAGUUUCAAGACCUUAAGUGCAACAAAGAAGAUGAAGAAAAGAAUCAACUAGAUUUAAAUCGAGGAAAGGCGAAAGUCUCGGAUUAGCUUUCAACUUAACUUAUCAACUGUGGUGAUUGAGGUAAGUUCAUGUAGAGAUUAAAUUUGUCAUUUGAUGUUUUGGAUGAGUUACUAUGUAUAAUUAAGUGAAUUAUAAACUUGAUUUGAUAAUUGAUAUUGUGGAUAUUGUUGUAAGGUUAGUUGACUUAAAGUUGUAAUUUAUAAGUGUGAAAUUCAUGAUGAUAUACAGAAUAUGUUAUAAUGCAAUGGAAAUAAAGGAUUUGGAGGUAAAA